ensembl:lncRNA
GAAGAAGGAGGAUUGUGUAGGGCAAGAUUCAGGUGUCACACUUUGUUACAUGAAGUCAAGUGCUGCCUACACUAAAUGACCAUAUUUGCUUUCACAGAGAGAAACAAAACUAUGAAGGUAACCUGAAUAGGCUUAAGAGAAAGGAGUCCCUACUGCUUACUUCUAUCACUGCAGGGAGCCCAGGUGUCCCAGGGGACUUUAGGAUCAUUGCUAGCCAGUGAAAUGAGAAAAAUAAGGUGAAAUGAAGACUUUUCUAAUUACAGACACUGCUUGCAAAGCUCAUUGCUCUGUAGUUCAUAAGUGCACUUUAGGAGCAAUCUCAGAGAAGGACUUUGGCUUUGAAAGUAGUCUCAGAUUGUCAUCCAAACCACACCUACUCUCUUCUUGAUCCAAGGGAAGCAUAAACCCCCUGGAUAUGUAAGCUUUUACCCUGAAAACAUACCCUAGGGAAUCCUCAAUUUGAAAGUGAGUGGCUAACUAAUUAAUCCCAGCAAGAUCCAGGAAUUAGGCAAAGUUAAGCCUCUGAAUCUGUUAAGUACAAGUUGAACAAUCUUCAGUGUCUUCAGGAUCAACACAUGGCCUUGCUUCUGUCUGUUUUGAAAAGGAAAACAACUCUAGAUAUAACCAAAUGGUGAGAUUUCCCAAGUUCCAGGCUAUCAGCAUUGAAAAGAGUAUGAAAUAAGAUACCUCAAUUACUCUAAGCUUUUCUUUAUGGUCUCCAAUUCUAGAUUUUGAGUCUACCUGGAGAAAUACUUUGAGAAUUGUCGUUCUGCAGCUGGAGCAACUUAACUCUGUUUUGAAUUUUAGGUGCUAAGGAUCUUCAGAGUUAGAUCCACUGAGAUAUUUAGACCCACAGAUAUUUUGGCACCCAACUUCUGUUUGUCCCACCACCUGCAUCAACAGAGUUUAAAGUCAACUUGGGUGUAAAGAGCAUCAGAAAAUGAAAGUACCAAACAAUCUCUGCCUUUAGAGAGAGAGAAGGCAGUUGUUAUCUAAAAAUUUCCUCCACAUUAGGUUCUUAUUAUCUUUCCUUUUGCACCAUCAACUGUUCCAUGCAAUUGUGCUUGGAAUCAUUCAACUGAAAAGAAAGGCUCCCCUGUCCAUCUUCCUGGCAAACGUGUUCAAAGGUACCUCCUUUUUUCAUUCCCUUUCUCAGAUCUGGCUGGUGAAGCUUAUCAAACAGAGCGUUAACAGCAUAGCCUCUCUAAGUCUCCAAAGUCUGACCCCAAAUACAGAGAUCACUGAAUCUGUUGCGGGUUAGCAUAUGGCACUUGUUUGAGAACAUUGUUAGUGAAAGACUGAAUCCGGCAGCCUGACAGAUCCAAGUCUGCUGUAGCUAGCUCUAUGCCCUAUAAUCAACCACUACUGAUGCUGGGCAUAUACUGCCUAUAGAUACACACACACAGGCACUCAUAUGCAGCAUAUAUGCAUUUAUAAAUGCACAUACACAUCCACAUUGGUCACAGGUAGACACACAGAGCACUCAUACAAACAGCCUGUAGAAACCACUUCAUCCUGUCCUCUACCUGGCUGAUAAGAGUGAAAGUCUGUCAAUGCAAAAUAUAUAUAUAUAUAUAUGUGUGUGUAUAUAUAUAUAUAAUACGUACAUAUAUAUAUAUACAUAUGUAUAAUAAGUAUGCAUGCAUACAAGGGCUGCUCCAUAAGUAAUAGCUCUUAUUUCAUUAUGUUGGCCCACGAUGUCAGAGGUGGAUGUUGGUGGUAUCACACUGGGGGCUGAUCCUUCCCAUCAAUAUUCCACUACACUUUGUUGCUGUGUGAAAAGCUGCAUAUUCAUUGAAGUUUUCUGAAGGUUUAUGGAGACCAACCAGUGGAUGUCAGCAUGGUAAGGAGGUUUGCGGUGUGUUUCAGCAGUGGAAACAGUGACAGUGGGUCAGCUCAGGUGCUGCAGAUUUUUGUUAGUGCAGCAUGCAAGCUCUUGUUCAUUGCUUGUGAAAAUGCAGAGCUAAUGGUGGUGUCUAAGUUGAAAAAUAGUGUUUUGUAUCUGAGAAUCUGCUCUAUCAAAUAGCAUGUUUGUGCUCUUUGAACCUGAUGUAGUUUCCAUGGAAAUAAACAGGAGGCAUUAUUUUUGGAGCAACCUAUGUAUUUGCAGGCACACGUGUAUAAAAUAUAGAUCCACUAGUAGCUAGGCUCAAAACUUCAGUGUGCCCAGUGGCUGCUCCUGGGUCCCAGUCUUACUAGUUGCAGGCAAAACCUAAAGGGUUAAGUAAUCUGAAUGAAUGGGGAUUUUGGCUCCUCAGGUUAUUUUGGUUCCCCCCCACUGCUAGGCUCUCUGCUCCUCUGUGUGCAUGGAGAUGAGCCUUUUAUCUCACAAGCUGACAAAUAUCUGCUUUCUGUGAGAUUUUUUGUUGCCUGCCUAGAUCCUGCUCUGUCUCUGAGGCGCAUAAGCUCUGUCAUGCUCAUUACAUGGAGAGCAUCAGGAAACUUGUCCCCUCAAGCUACUGAUGACACAUUCACUUUGCACCUUCACAGAGAGAGAAAGGGGAGAUCUGCCUUUUGAAGCAGAAAAAGCAACUGCUGCAAACCUGCAGUGUGUUUAAUGGAAGAGGACGUCUGGUUUCCAUGUAACGCUAAUAAAGUAUUCAGUACACUGGCAGGAGGAGCCUGGAAUGGAUGUGGGUGGUGAGGGUUGUGGGAAGCAGAGAGGAGACAGAGGGGUGUUAGAGGAUGGCCAGCUUGUGAUAGCAGGGAAAUCAAAGCCUUGUAAAGAGGAAAAUAUUUUAAAUGUUAUUUCAGUGUUUCAUCAAAAAAGAUUUUGCAAAGCUAUUUGUGACUGACUCUUUGGAGAUCUUGGUAUAAGGUUAUACUUAUACAUGUUUAAAGCAAUUCCAAGAUUUAUCCAUUUAGAAGAAAAAGUGUAAAACUUAAAAAAAAAAUGAAAAAGAAAAAAUGUAUUUUCUCCUUGUCUUCAUAAAAGAAGGCAGAAGAAAAAAAAAAACAAAAAACAGAGCAAGCAAAUAACCUUUUUUUUUUUUUUUUUCCUCCCUGAAAAUAACCCUAGAAACACCCAGCACAGCAUAAAAAAUCAUCAAAUGCUUUUGAACUAAAAGCCAUUCUUUUCUUGGGAAAACAUGUAUAGACAAAAAUACCCAAGCUGCCAAACUGAUAAAUACAAUUGACCUGCUGUGAUGUUAACUUAGAGCUCAUCGAUUUCAUUUCUGAUGUGCCACAGGAACAUUCAUUUGCACUGAGUGCUAGCUAAGACCUUUUCAUUAGUGCUGCAGCAGCUGGAUUGUAGAUUUGGUCAAUGCGGAUGGGUAUGGAAUGACUUGGGCUCUUCUACCCCAGCUUUUGUCUGGCCAGAUGUGAGCUUAUGACAAUAGGCUGUUCCUGUGAAAGGCCAGGCAUGGUAGCCCAGGUGCAGUGCUGGAGUAGAGCUGGGGUCAAGCUUUGUGUUAUGAUUGGAUACUGAAAAAAAAGAAAUAGGUAAUUUGAGUUAAACCUGGUUAUUUACUCAAAACAAGCUCUCAUAAAGCCAUUUUCGAGAUUGUAUCAGAGCAUCUUCCAGUAAUGAAUUAUUCAGUUUAAUCAAUUUUUCACUCUCUCCUGCAUGAUUAGGAAACUGGGAUCUGGGACACAAAAUUGAGAGUGAUCCAUGGAGCAUCUCUAACUUUGAUAAGACCAGCCCUACUGGGAAUUUUCUUCAUUUAAAAACUGGGAGAUAAAGGGAUUGAGGCCGAUGCUGCUGUAGCUGAAAAGGGCGUCUCAUUCCAUACAGUUCAUAGAGACGCUGAGUCCAUUCCAUCCAUUCCAUAUGUCCUACAUCUCUGUGCUGGCAGUGAGAUAGUGAGGUCUGGGAAUGGGGAAUACUGGGAAUACUACUCUUCUCUUCUCUUCUCUUCUCUUCUCUUCUCUUCUCUUCUCUUCUCUUCUCUUCUCUUCUCUUCUCUUCUCUUCUCUUCUCUUCUCUUCUCUUCUCUUCUCUUCUCUUCUCUUCUCUUCUCUUCUCUUCUCUUCUCUUCUCUUCUCUUCUCUUCUCUUCUCUUCUCUUCUCUUCUCUUCUCUUCUCUUCUCUUCUCUCUUCUUUUACUUUAUUUUCUUUCUCCUCCCCAGAUAAAAUUGUCUACCUGCAAAAUGAAUCAUCUGAAUUUAGGUUUUCCUUUAAAGUUUUAUGGGCUGCAUAUUUGCUCCCCAUCCUUUCUUUAAUUUUGCUAGUGAGGAGCCUGUCUGUACCAUGCAACUCACAACUGCCUGGGAGACCUGUGACAAGUAAAUUUCAGUCUCUCAGUAGAGCUGGUAUUCUUAGAGCUGCAGGAGCAGUCAUCAUGAAGGGGAAAGCUGUGAACGCCAAUAAAUUAUUGAAGAAAGCAGGAGAAAUAUUUCCUUCUGUUGACACAUUGGCAUUCACCUUUGGGAAUGUAAUCAUGGGAAAGGUAGGCAAUCUUUUGUCAUAGAGAUCUUUUGCUCGGAGAAUUCAGUCUUUUUAAAACCUUAGGAGGGAGCCUGCAAGCCCUCAACAUGGAAGGGGUAUUCAAGUUAUAGGAUGUCUUCAGGCAGACAAGUUUCUCAGAAAUGACAGUGAAACUGAAUUAAGUCUGCAACACAUUAAAAUUACUUGGUGAUAAAAAGGGAGGUUAGUGAGGUAGAGAGUAAACCCCUCCAGCUCCCUGACACCCCGGGACAGUUUCCAAUCAGGAGGGGGAUUGUUUUCUACGAACAAAACAAGACAGCAUUAGUACAAGACAGAGCAUAAACAUGGCAAAAUUUAGAGUUCAGAGAAGAACAGAAGAUGGAAGCCAACCUCUUGGUGUAAGGCAGAGGAAACAGCAAGGACAUGCCUACAAGAUCAACAUUUCCUUUUGGGUUGUGACAUGGGGGAAGGACUGGGGCAGUUCUUGAGAGCUGGGGUGGUGCAGGAGUGGUUUCUUCUAGCCUGAAAAUCUGAUUCUACCUCUUUCUUCCAUCACUGAAACAAAGGAACCUACCCAGGCCUGUGAACAUAGAUUUGUCUGUCUGAAUUUCAAAUUUUGCUUGGAAAGCCAUCAAAUUAGCACUGAUGUUUUAUUCCAACAUCAGAAACGGCAGGGAAAAAUACCCAGGAGCUCGUUGGAUUUAAAUCCACAGAAUCAUCUCCAGUUUUGUUUAGACGAGAUGAGUGAAUAACCCCCCUUCUCAGCAUCAUAUUUGGCUCAAAUCACCAAUUUACUGGUUUACAAAAAUCUAAAACUGCCCCUCCGGCAAAUUAAGGGAUUACGUCAAUCACUCAAGUCCAUUCUACCUGACAACAGCACGCAGCAACAGGGCAAAAGGUUUGAUGCUCUGCUGGAAUGUGAUAAGGAGAAAAUGCCAAAUGACACAUAGGCAAAGUUAUUACCAGCGAGAUGAAGACAAACUGGAGGGAGUUCAGAGAAGUGCAACAAAAAUGAUUAGAGAGCUGGAGGGGUUGAUUUAGAAGGAAAGUUUACAAGAACAACUGGCAAUAUGCACAGCAGGGCUGAGCAACAUCUGAGGGGGGAGAGAGAGCCAGUUGCAAACAUCUGAACAGUGCAAACACCCAGGGAGGAACACAAUUACCCAAGGGGGAAAUAACUAAGAUAAUAGGUUGAAAUUAGGAGAAAGAGAUAAACAUCAAAAUAACUUCUCAGUGAAAAGACUGUGGAAUAACCUACUAUGGGAAGACAUGGAAGUCCAAGCCAAGCAGGCUAUAAAUUCCUUCCCACAGCCCCUGCAGAUACAAAAGUCAGCCACAGAUAACUUUGAAAACAAUUUCUAAGCAACAAAUGUCAGAACUUCUGCAAGAAACCAGGUGUGAGAAGGUGUUUAGAACUGAUGAUUUCCAGAUAACUCUACUAGUUUUCUUGCUGUUCAAAUGCACAAUGGGGAGGAGUUUGAAAAGGCUCUUGCUUUCUGUUUCCUGGGUGAAAUGACUGCACUGGAAACCUCCAAAAGUGCAGUUGUGGCAAUCAAGACAUUGCCCACUCAUCGACAAAUAGUUUUCCAGUUGAGAUAGUUGGUUUAAAUCUCCCUCAGGUUUGGAGUGACUGGAAAUCAACACCAGAUAAUGGCUGUUUGGUAGUAGAUGUGACAUGAGUUAAUGCACUCACUUGAAUUUCUAGUGGAUAUUGGACAUGUGCUCACAUUACAAAUGCUUUGAACAGCAUGAUCAGCAUUAAAUUAACAUCUACACUGACAAUCUUGCCAAAGAAAUCCAGAAGGAGAUGGACAUUAGUAAUGAACUGCACGUUCACCUUUGGAGUGAAGUCAUUAGCAAGGUAAACUUUACCUCAUGGGCUCUGAACCUCGUCUCCUCUACUGUAUUUCCUAACUCCUGGAUGGGAUGUCAAUUUGCAAAGCAGAUUAUUUAGCAUAUUUCCUCAGCAUACAAGAAACUGCUACCAUUAAAGAAAAUUUACAUUACAGAACGGUUGUUUAUUAGACAUUAUCAUUAAUUAAUAAGUAUUUUUAGCUGCUUCUUGACAAGGAAGGUGCAUGGCAUGCAUGUGACACAAUUCAUCUGGUUUUAUAGAAGGUAGUAAUAGCUGCAAUGAGUAUAGAAGUAGCACAGGACUCUCUUGCAGAGUGGUAUUUGAAGGUCUGGCUAAGCAAAGCCACUUAGGCCAUUUCUAGUUUAUUGUUGUUACACUUUGGUAUGGCUUUCUAGUAAUUUAUAGGGGUGUUUGUUGAGUUCAUGAGCUCUUGAGACCUGCAUCCAAUAAAAUAGUGAUGUACUUUCUCUUGACUGAAGGCAGAAGCAUAUAUCAUUGCAUGCAGUGGGUCUGAUAUCAUUUUAUGCUGGAUGGGGAAAAAGGCUGUGAAGCUCUGUAGCUUAGUAAAAGAAAAGGAAAAGUAAAGAAAAAUGGCAAUAAAGGACAUCACUUUGUGCAGGGCACUAUUUUGUUUCUAGAUUCUUUAGCUUCAUACAUUAGCAAGCCGGGAAUUUGGUGGGUUAAUCCUACCCUUGACUGUAAGAUCCCAUAUUAGUUAACGAUCUCUUUCUGAACUUGAUAUAAAGCCACAUAAGUUAAUGAGCAGCUAUUAGACAAAUCAUUAUUUAUAUACUUAUAUAUAUUCCCAUAAUUUUUCAUCUGUAUUUUAACUUUGCCAUGACAUAGGGUGCUAAUCCUUCAUGCUCUUGCAGUGUUAACAACAAUAUCUUUUCCCAUUUAAUUAAUAUUUUUAAAAGUUGCCUCAUCCUCCACCAUUAACAUCUUCCCCUCUAUCAAACAAUAAGUGAUAUGGAUCAGUCUUAGUCGAUUAGCUGUAAAGAAGAGGAAAAAUCACUAAGGCAGCAAGGCUUAUUCUUAAAGUAACUUCUCUCUUUCCACCUACUUGUCUAUUCUUAGACUACUGUAAACAUAAAAUGGUCAGGCAGCACAUAGAACAGUCCUAUCAUGUAGGAAAAAAAAAAAAAAUUGGUUCCUAGUGUGACUGUGCACCUUUGCAUAAAAUAAAUAAAUAAAAAUCUCUGUCAUGGAAAAGACAAAGGUAGCAUUGCUUUUACUGGUUUUCUCAGAAAUCUAACUUCCCUUCCCUUCCCUUCCCUUCCCUUCCCUUCCCUUCCCUUCCCUUCCCUUCCCUUCCCUUCCCUUCCC